rnacentral:rRNA from 1 species
CGAACACAGAAGUUAAGCCUCUCAGCGCCGAUGGUACUUGGGUGGAGACGCCCUGGGAGAGUAGGACGUUGCCAGGU